GACGAACGCUGGCGGCGUGCUUAACACAUGCAAGUCGAACGGAAAGGCCCUGCUUUUGUGGGUGCUCGAGUGGCGAACGGGUGAGUAACACGUGAGUAACCUGCCCUUGACUUUGGGAUAACUUCAGGAAACUGGGGCUAAUACCGGAUAGGAGCUCCUGCUGCAUGGUGGGGGUUGGAAAGUUUCGGCGGUUGGGGAUGGACUCGCGGCUUAUCAGCUUGUUGGUGGGGUAGUGGCUUACCAAGGCUUUGACGGGUAGCCGGCCUGAGAGGGAGACCGGCCACAUUGGGACUGAGAUACGGCCCAGACUCCUACGGGAGGCAGCAGUGGGGAAUAUUGCACAAUGGGCGGAAGCCUGAUGCAGCAACGCCGCGUGCGGGAUGACGGCCUUCGGGUUGUAAACCGCUUUCGCCUGUGACGAAGCGUGAGUGACGGUAAUGGGUAAAGAAGCACCGGCUAACUACGUGCCAGCAGCCGCCGUAACAC
rnacentral:rRNA from 1 species